GCCUGGCUGGCUCAGCUGAAAGAGCAUGUGACUCUUGAUCUCAAGGUCAUGAGUUUGAGUCCCAAGUUGGGUG
rnacentral:tRNA from 1 species